GGGGUGAGUAACGCGUGGGUAACCUGCCCUAUACACAUGGAUAACAUACUGAAAAGUUUACUAAUACAUGAUAAUAUAUAUUUACGGCAUCGUAGAUAUAUCAAAGUGUUAGCGGUAUAGGAUGGACCCGCGUUUGAUUAGCUAGUUGGUGAGAUAACUGCCCACCAAGGCGACGAUCAGUAGCCGACCUGAGAGGGUGAUCGGCCACAUUGGAACUGAGACACGGUCCAAACUCCUACGGGAGGCAGCAGCU
rnacentral:rRNA from 1 species